CUUUGCAUGUGCUGACUUGCAAGAUUAAAUGCCUACAUUGUCUGAAAAGUAUCUUUGUGAUAAUAAUUGCAAGAGCUGAGGCUUGA